AAACACACACACACAUCUCUUUUUUAUUAUUUUUUUUCUCUUUUCUUUUACAUUCACCUUUACACAAAAUAAAUUCAAAACAAAUAAAUACAAAUUACAUUAAUUAAUUUAAAUUUUACAAAACAGUCCCUAAAAGUCCAGAAAUUGCAUUGAAGGACACUGUCGGAACUGCCUGAACUCGUGGCGGCGCGUGAACCCACGCGCCGCCGCAAACAUGCCGGAAACGGGCGGAUCUGCCCUGUUUCCUCCUCCCUUCUCUGCUGGUGGCAUCCUGCAAAACAAGAAAAAGGAAACGCAGGUAGUUCAUUUUAAUCCAUUUCUGUCCAGUUCUUGGAUUUUUCCUUUCUUCUCCAUUUUGGAUCUGCUUCUUUACAGAUCUGUUAUUUUCGUUUCCC
rnacentral:lncRNA from 1 species